rnacentral:rRNA from 1 species
GACGAACGCUGGCGGCGUGCCUAAUACAUGCAAGUCGAACGAACUCUGGUAUUGAUUGGUGCUUGCAUCAUGAUUUACAUUUGAGUGAGUGGCGAACUGGUGAGUAACACGUGGGAAACCUGCCCAGAAGCGGGGGAUAACACCUGGAAACAGAUGCUAAUACCGCAUAACAACUUGGACCGCAUGGUCCGAGUUUGAAAGAUGGCUUCGGCUAUCACUUUUGGAUGGUCCCGCGGCGUAUUAGCUAGAUGGUGGGGUAACGGCUCACCAUGGCAAUGAUACGUAGCCGACCUGAGAGGGUAAUCGGCCACAUUGGGACUGAGACACGGCCCAAACUCCUACGGGAGGCAGCAGUAGGGAAUCUUCCACAAUGGACGAAAGUCUGAUGGAGCAACGCCGCGUGAGUGAAGAAGGGUUUCGGCUCGUAAAACUCUGUUGUUAAAGAAGAACAUAUCUGAGAGUAACUGUUCAGGUAUUGACGGUAUUUAACCAGAAAGCCACGGCUAACUACGUGCCAGCAGCCGCGGUAAUACGUAGGUGGCAAGCGUUGUCCGGAUUUAUUGGGCGUAAAGCGAGCGCAGGCGGUUUUUUAAGUCUGAUGUGAAAGCCUUCGGCUCAACCGAAGAAGUGCAUCGGAAACUGGGAAACUUGAGUGCAGAAGAGGACAGUGGAACUCCAUGUGUAGCGGUGAAAUGCGUAGAUAUAUGGAAGAACACCAGUGGCGAAGGCGGCUGUCUGGUCUGUAACUGACGCUGAGGCUCGAAAGUAUGGGUAGCAAACAGGAUUAGAUACCCUGGUAGUCCAUACCGUAAACGAUGAAUGCUAAGUGUUGGAGGGUUUCCGCCCUUCAGUGCUGCAGCUAACGCAUUAAGCAUUCCGCCUGGGGAGUACGGCCGCAAGGCUGAAACUCAAAGGAAUUGACGGGGGCCCGCACAAGCGGUGGAGCAUGUGGUUUAAUUCGAAGCUACGCGAAGAACCUUACCAGGUCUUGACAUACUAUGCAAAUCUAAGAGAUUAGACGUUCCCUUCGGGGACAUGGAUACAGGUGGUGCAUGGUUGUCGUCAGCUCGUGCCGUGAGAUGCUGGGUUAAGUCCCGCAACGAGCGCAACCCUUAUUAUCAGUUGCCAGCAUUAAGUUGGGCACUCUGGUGAGACUGCCGGUGACAAACCGGAGGAAGGUGGGGAUGACGUCAAAUCAUCAUGCCCCUUAUGACCUGGGCUACACACGUGCUACAAUGGAUGGUACAACGAGUUGCGAACUCGCGAGAGUAAGCUAAUCUCUUAAAGCCAUUCUCAGUUCGGAUUGUAGGCUGCAACUCGCCUACAUGAAGUCGGAAUCGCUAGUAAUCGCGGAUCAGCAUGCCGCGGUGAAUACGUUCCCGGGCCUUGUACACACCGCCCGUCACACCAUGAGAGUUUGUAACACCCAAAGUCGGUGGGGUAACCUUUUAGGAACCAGCCGCCUAAGGUGGGACAGAUGAUUAGGGUG